CGCGCAGGCGGCCUUUCAAGUCAGGGGUGAAAGCCCGGAGCUCAACUCCGGAAUUGCCUUUGAAACUGCAAGGCUUGAGUACGGGAGAGGGUGAGUGGAAUUCCCAGUGUAGAGGUGAAAUUCGUAGAUAUUGGGAAGAACACCGGUGGCGAAGGCGGCUCACUGGCCCGUAACUGACGCUCAGGCGCGACAGCGUGGGGAUCAAACAGGAUUAGAUACCCUGGUAGUCCACGCCGUAAACGAUGAACGCUAGCCGUUGGCAAGCUUGCUUGUCAGUGGCGCAGCUAACGCAUUAAGCGUUCCGCCUGGGGAGUACGGCCGCAAGGUUGAA
rnacentral:rRNA from 1 species